UGGGGAAUAUUGGACAAUGGGGGGAACCCUGAUCCAGCCAUGCCGCGUGUGUGAAAAAGGCCUUAUGGUUGUAAAGCACUUUAAGCGAGGAGGAGGCUCUCUUGGUUAAUACCCAAGAUGAGUGGACGUUACUCGCAGAAUAAGCACCGGCUAACUCUGUGCCAGCAGCCGCGGUAAUACAGAGGGUGCGAGCGUUAAUCGGAUUUACUGGGCGUAAAGCGUGCGUAGGCGGCUUUUUAAGUCGGAUGUGAAAUCCCCGAGCUUAACUUGGGAAUUGCAUUCGAUACUGGGAAGCUAGAGUAUGGGAGAGGAUGGUAGAAUUCCAGGUGUAGCGGUGAAAUGCGUAGAGAUCUGGAGGAAUACCGAUGGCGAAGGCAGCCAUCUGGCCUAAUACUGACGCUGAGGUACGAAAGCAUGGGGAGCAAACAGG
rnacentral:rRNA from 1 species